rnacentral:rRNA from 1 species
AGCAGCCGCGGUAAUUCCAGCUCCAAUAGCGUAUAUUAAAGUUGUUGCAGUUAAAAAGCUCGUAGUUGAAUUUCGGGAUCAAUAUGUUGGUCGUGCCUUGGUACGUACUGGCAUUAUCGAUUCCUACCUUCUGAAGAACCUCGAUAUCAUUAAUUUGGUGUCUUGGGGAAUCAGGACUGUUACUUUGAAAAAAUUAGAGUGUUUAAAGCAAGCUAACGCUUGAAUACAUUAGCAUGGAAUAAUGAAAUAGGACGUUCGAUCCUAUUUUGUUGGUUUCUAGGAUUGACGUAAUGAUUAAUAGGGAUAGUUGGGGGCAUUAGUAUUCAAUUGUCAGAGGUGAAAUUCUUGGAUUUAUUGAAGACUAACUACUGCGAAAGCAUUUGCCAAGGAUGUUUUCAUUAAUCAAGAACGAAAGUUAGGGGAUCGAAGACGAUCAGAUACCGUCGUAGUCUUAACCAUAAACUAUGCCGACUAGGGAUCGGAUGAUGUUAAUUUUUAAUGACUCAUUCGGCGCCUUACG